AGCGAACGCUGGCGGCAGGCCUAACACAUGCAAGUCGAGCGCCGUAGCAAUACGGAGCGGCAGACGGGAUAGUAACACGUGGGAACGUGCCCUUUGGUUCGGAAUAACUCAGGGAAACUUGAGCUAAUACCGGAUAAGCCCUUCGGGGGAAAGAUUUAUUGCCAUUGGAGCGGCCCGCGUCGGAUUAGCUAGUUGGUGAGGUAAUGGCUCACCAAGGCGACGAUCCGUAGCUGGUCUGAGAGGAUGACCAGCAUCACUGGGACUGAGACACGGCCCAGACUCCUACGGGAGGCAGCAGUGGGGAAUAUUGGACAAUGGGCGCAAGCCUGAUCCAGCCAUGCCGCGUGGAUGAUGAAGGCCCUAGGGUUGUAAAGUCCUUUUAACGGGGAAGAUAAUGACGGUACCCGUAGAAUAAGCCCCGGCUAACUUCGUGCCAGCAGCCGCAGUAAUAC
rnacentral:rRNA from 1 species